rfam:Trichosporon oleaginosus strain IBC0246 unplaced genomic scaffold CC85scaffold_27, whole genome shotgun sequence.
AUCGCUAUAGCUUAGUGGAAGAGCGCGAGGCUCAUAAUAGUGACCUCGAGGUCCCAAGAUCGAGACUUGGUGGCGAUA